rnacentral:rRNA from 1 species
GAUGAACGCUAGCGACAGGCUUAACACAUGCAAGUCGAGGGGCAGCGGAAAGUAGCUUGCUACUUUGCCGGCGACCGGCGCACGGGUGCGUAACGCGUAUGUAACCUGCCUAUCAGUCGAGGAUAACCCGGCGAAAGUCGGACUAAUACUGGAUAAAACAGGGGCCCCGCAUGGGGAUAUUUGUUAAAGAUUUAUUGCUGAUAGAUGGGCAUGCGUUCCAUUAGAUAGUUGGUGAGGUAACGGCUCACCAAGUCUGCGAUGGAUAGGGGUUCUGAGAGGAAGGUCCCCCACACUGGUACUGAGACACGGACCAGACUCCUACGGGAGGCAGCAGUGAGGAAUAUUGGUCAAUGGGCGCAAGCCUGAACCAGCCAAGUCGCGUGCAGGAUGACUGCCCUAUGGGUUGUAAACUGCUUUUAUAUGGGAAUAACGGUAGGGACGUGUCCUUAUAUGCAUGUACCAUAUGAAUAAGCAUCGGCUAACUCCGUGCCAGCAGCCGCCGUAAAAC